rnacentral:rRNA from 1 species
ACUCCUACGGGAGGCAGCAGUAAGGAAUCUUCCGCAAUGGGCGAAAGCCUGACGGAGCAAUGCCGCGUGAGUGAUGAAGGCCUUCGGGUCGUAAAGCUCUGUUGAGGGGGAAGAACGGUGCAUCGGAUAAUACCCGGUGUAUCUUGACGGUACUCCUCGAGGAAGCGCCGGCUAAUUCGGUGCCAGCAGCCGCGGUAAU